CAGCGCUCCCCUCCCUUCCGGAGCAACAGAAUGGUGGAAGGAGCUACUGUUAGUUAUUCUCCUUUUGCUCUGUGGAACGCUGAAGAGGGCUGGAGUUGGCUGUUUCCCUUCCUCCAGCACCAGAAGCACCCCCCGCCCCGUGGAAAUGAGAAGAAACGUAAACAAGCCUCAAAAACAGACUUCUGGAUCACCUACAGCAACCCCAAAGGGAAAUGAGAUGGAACAAUCUGAUACUCAACCACCUGGACUCUCUGAACUGGCAACAAAAGAGGAUCUGGGAAAAAUGAAAUCAGUGCAAAUGAAUCAAAGUGAAGGACAGAAAGAACCUAGAAACUACCUCCAGAAGGAGACUCCAGCACCCCAAAACCUAGUAACAUAUUUGGCGAGCCAGCCAGGAGGCCAGCAACAAACCCAUAAUAUUUUUAAGUGGCCUGAUGGAACAUCUGCUGCUGUUUCUUCUCUCCAAGAGGAUGAGAGAUGACCAGACAGCCAGCUUGUCUGCACUGGGG
rnacentral:lncRNA from 1 species